UCCGGAUUGCAUGAAGCGAAUAUUUUGAACAAUGUUAUCAUUAUCUUAUUAUCUGUUUUACAUGUUCUGUAUCCCAUGGAUUAAGUUUCUUUUAUAGAAAAGCCACAGCUGAUUUGAAAUCAGAAGUUGUAUUUUCACAUAACGGUUUGACAAAAGGAGAUGUUCUGCAACUCACAGUUGGAACAGACCAACAGCCACCCAUUGUGAAAUUGAUAGAUUUUGAAUAUAGUUCCUACAACUACCGUGCCUACGAUUUAAGUAUGCUGUUCAUUGAAUGUUGCAUUGAAUACCGGAAAAAAGAUACUCCUCCAAAUUUUGAUUUCAACAGCAAGGACUAUUUUGCACCAGAAGUACGAAAACAGAUUUGUAAAGCGUAUUUAAUAGCAAGAUCAAAUACGGAAGAUCCAACAGAUGGCGACGUAAACAGAUUAUUUCAUGAAACUGAAAUAUGUGAGUUAGCUGUACAUCUCGUUUGGGCAGUAUGGGGUGUUGAUCAGCAUAUUAGAGGAGAGAAAAUUCUUUUUGGAUAUUUGGAAUAUGCCGUUGCUCAUUUACGGGAAUAUAUAAGGAAAAGGGAACUCAGAUUACCAGACGGAGCAGGUGAUUGAAUUGCAAUAACCUUGUCUGUGCUUCAGAUUUGGAUUUCACAUUAUUGAAGAAGAGAUAUAAACAUAUAAACUUGAAUGGAUGUGUACAAUCAUUUGCUAUCAUUGUCAUCACAUUUUGAAAGUUUUGUCUCGGCUAUUUCAUUUUUUAAACUUCAAUACGUUGCACUACAAGCAAUCGAAAACGCUAUUUCAUAAAUGUCUUGGCAUUAACAUUCCGUUUCUUUUCAAAUCACGAUCCAUACAAAACAAUAAAUGUGAAGAUUUUAUAUGUUCCCUAUUUUAAAGUAUCAGAAUCGCAAUUGUUUCUUAUUAUCGUCAAUGAAAAUUAUAACAUCAAAGGCUAUUAUUUGGAUUUUGUAUUCUCUUUCAUUUAAUUUUUUUUGUAUGCAUUUUAACUUCUUAUACUAUUAUCAAAGUGUACCCAAUAUUAUUUUAAUGUAAACUAACUCAUAUGUAUAAUAUUCCAAUUCAUAUGAUUUUAAUACCUGAAAGAGAAUUCAUUUAAUUUCGUUUUGUGCUUGGU